rnacentral:rRNA from 1 species
GAUGAACGCUAGCUACAGGCUUAACACAUGCAAGUCGAGGGGAAACGAUAGAGAAAGCUUGCUUUUUCUAGGCGUCGACCGGCGCACGGGUGAGUAACGCGUAUCCAACCUGCCCACCACUUGGGGAUAACCUUGCGAAAGUAAGACUAAUACCCAAUGACGUCUCUAGAAGACAUCUGAAAGAGAUUAAAGAUUUAUCGGUGAUGGAUGGGGAUGCGUCUGAUUAGCUUGUUGGCGGGGUAACGGCCCACCAAGGCGACGAUCAGUAGGGGUUCUGAGAGGAAGGUCCCCCCACAUUGGAACUGAGACACGGUCCAAACUCCUACGGGAGGCAGCAGUGAGGAAUAUUGGUCAAUGGACGAGAGUCUGAACCAGCCAAGUAGCGUGAAGGAUGAAGGUCGUACGGAUUGUAAACUUCUUUUAUAAGGGAAUAAACCCUCCACGUGUGGGAGCUUGUAUGUACCUUAUGAAUAAGCAUCGGCUAACUCCGUG